UGCAAGUGCUUCUCAAAUGUAAUAUUUCAUGCCUUCUCCACACUCGUCCUCACAAGAACAUACUCAAGAGAACGUCCUCGGGGGAAUGCACUUGAAGCACGAAAUGGGAGACGGACAAGGAGACUGAUAUUGUGAUUAUCAAAGGAGCCGGUGGGAAAGCCUUCUGUGCUGGUGGAGACAUCAGAGCUGUGACUGAAGCAGGGAAGGUAGGAGACUUCUGAAGAAUACAUCCUGAACAAUACUAUUGGAACAUAUCAGAAACCAUAUGUGGCCCUUAUUUAUGGGAUAACAAUGGGAGGGGGCUCCUUGAAGGGACAUGGCCGCUGCAGAUCAGGACAGGGUGUGAUAAUGGUGUGGGCCUCUCAGUCCACGGGAGGUUUCGGGUGGCCACUGAGAAGACUGUUCAACAUGCCGGAGACGGCAAUCGGUAAGACACUGUGCCGGCAUCGACCCCUGCCAUCCCUUGAGGUCCGUGUUUGGCUCAUGUUAUUGUGAUUGUGUGUAUUUUCACCUUGCUUGGCACAGUCACUCCAGUGCAUUAAUAAUAAAUGGGCCAUGCYGACAUAGCGACGCAAGAAGAGCAUCCUCCUCAGCCGGAUAUGAACAGGCCGAGCAGGGUUACACACAUACACAGAAACACACACAGCUGUUUCUGUGGCUGUUUCUCUGCGGUUGCCUAAUGUUUUACAAAGGCUUCACGUGGCAUGAUGUGACAAUUAUACCUUAAAUGUUUUAUGUAAACAUUUAAAAAUAAUUUGCCGACCGCCUAGCCUGAACAGAUGGUCACACUUCUUUCAGGUGACAGAGUAAUUUGUUUUUAAAAAUCUGAACACCUAGCUAAUUACGCAAUAGCCUGUUACCUGUUUAGGUCAAUAUAUGUCUGAUUUGUUCAAACUACAGUAAGUAUGGGUAUUUAAAAUGAGAAUAUGAACCUAGGUGCACAAAUUUAUUUGGCUAUAUGUUAUUCAUAUUACUUUGAGUGUUGACUGUUAUGGGGACCAUGGGAACCAUGGGAAAAUACAGUUUUAUAUGGAAACUGACAACCAGUUAUGCUGCGUGAACAGAAGGUAUGCAGAUGAUCACCUGGUGGGCACUACCCGCUAUGGAAGGAAGGAAUGCUCGCCACGCGGCCGACUGCAAAUCAAACAGUCGUUAAAAUGCUUGAGGCCGGUCUCACGCAGAGUCUCAAAGUGUCAAUCCUUGGUCUCGGACCGUCACUCAUUCCCAUGUGCACUUUUUACCAAGUUGCCAGGUGUGGGGUUUGCCAACAUCAUGUUCCACUGGGCAUGAUGAACACCUUACUCGUCUCGUCUAUUGAAGAUGGGCCACUUUUCCUGAGACGAUCGAUUGUAAUGAACAAUGGAAAGCUUUCAUGGCACCGCAUGCUGUAAUGUGUCCCAGAUCAUUUUGGGAGUUUCUUUGCUUCUCUGUUAUGUUGUG